rnacentral:rRNA from 1 species
UGGGGAAUAUUGGACAAUGGGCGAAAGCCUGAUCCAGCAACGCCGCGUGAGGGAUGACGGCCUUCGGGUUGUAACCUCUUUCAGCAGGGACGAAGCGCAAGUGACGGUACCUGCAGAAGAAGCACCGGCCAACUACGUGCCAGCAGCCGCGGUAAUACGUAGGGUGCGAGCGUUGUCCGGAAUUAUUGGGCGUAAAGGGCUCGUAGGCGGUCUGUCGCGUCGGGAGUGAAACACGGGGCUUAACCCCGUGCCUGCUUCCGAUACGGGCAGACUAGAGGUAUGCAGGGGAGAACGGAAUUCCUGGUGUAGCGGUGAAAUGCGCAGAUAUCAGGAGGAACACCGGUGGCGAAGGCGGUUCUCUGGGCAUUACCUGACGCUGAGGAGCGAAAGUGUGGGGAGCGAACAGGAUUAGAUACCCUGGUAGUCCACACCGUAAACGUUGGGCGCUAGGUGUGGGGACUCAUUCCACGAGUUCCGUGCCGCAGCUAACGCAUUAAGCG